GCUUGAACUUCCUAUGUCUAUGCUCAGAUCCUGUGUAAAACACACAAAAGCUCUAUGUGUGGAGGAAACCAGAGAAAACCAGAGAGAAUUGGAAGCACUGAGAGAAUUAUCUGCUUCUGUGCUUAGUGGCCUCUUUCUCCACUUGGGCUGAUUUGGAAAACACCCUCAGCAAAUUGACUGUGGAGGGAGGUAACAACUCCUGUAAGCCUCUAAAAGCUGUUUACGACAAGUCUUUGCCGAUCACCAUGGAAC